UUUCUAUUAAAUUGAUAUCGUAUGGACACGUUCGAAAAUCAGUGCAUAUCAACUAUUCUUUAAAAGAGUUAUGUCAUUUGGAAAUAUUAAUUAUAUUGAAAAUUGCAUUGUAUUUUCUGUCAUUCCAUCAUUUCUCUAAUAUAUCUAUAAAAAAAAACAAAGAAAAAAAUAAACAGCUGCGCUUCGAGCGCAUGAUACGCCCUUCGUCUUAUGAAAAAAAACCACAACAUAAUAUAUGUUUUUAAAAUAACACGGGGGUUGUACGGGAAGUCAUGCUAGGUAUAUCCUGACUCAUUCAUUAUUCUUGCUCAAUAGGAAGUUUAUAUAUCACAACAUGUUUUAUAUGAUCCCCAAAUUGAAGCUCAAUAAAAAUUCAAGAACUCAAAAAUGAAUUAAAGAAUCAUCACGAAAAGUAUACAGAUCUUAAGAAUAAUUUAACUAAAAAGUAUGUGAAGUUUUAUGCAAUAAUUAUAGAUAGUUUCAGAGAUACGGCGCGACAUGUGAACCCCAUCCCCUUUUGUCAUAAACUCAAUAACUCUAAAAUCAAAUUCUGAAUCAUUCUCAAAAGUAUAUACAAAUUCUUCAGAAUUAUAUAACUAAGAAGUGUGUAAAA
rnacentral:lncRNA from 1 species